CGGCGAUGAUUAAAUUUUAUCCGCGCUUCUGAGAUUUCUCUAUGAAGCAUAACGGAAAAAUGGUUGAAUUUCUUGAUAUGAGCCA